rnacentral:rRNA from 1 species
UGGGGAAUCUUGGACAAUGGGGGCAACCCUGAUCCAGCCAUGCCGCGUGAGUGAUGAAGGCCUUAGGGUCGUAAAGCUCUUUCGCCUGUGAAGAUAAUGACGGUAGCAGGUAAAGAAACCCCGGCUAACUCCGUGCCAGCAGCCGCGGUAAUACGGAGGGGGUUAGCGUUGUUCGGAAUUACUGGGCGUAAAGCGCACGUAGGCGGACCAGAAAGUUGGGGGUGAAAUCCCGGGGGCUCAACCCCGGAACUGCCUCCAAAACUAUUGGUCUAGAGUUCGAGAGAGGUGAGUGGAAUUCCAAGUGUAGAGGUGAAAAUUCGUAGAUAUUUGGAGGAACACCAGUGGCGAAGGCGGCUCACUGGCUCGAUACUGACGCUGAGGUGCGAAAAGUGUGGGGAGCAAAACAGGAUUAGAUACCCUGGUAGUCCACACCGUAAAACGAUGAAAUGCCAGUCGUCGGGUAGCAUGCUAUUCGGUGACACACCUAACGGAUUAAGCAUUCCGCCUGGGGAGUACGGUCGCAAGAUUAAAAACUCAAAAUGAAUUG